rnacentral:lncRNA from 1 species
UCUCGGGUCAAUCACAGAGUGUCACAUGAAUAAAAGAAAAGGAUUCCCAAAGAAGGCUUCACUUGUUAUGAGUGUGGAAACGUUGCAUCUCCUCCAUCAUUGCCCAAGUCAAAAGCCUAUGCUGAUUCUCCAUCAUUCCUUUGACAUCAUCAUAGAGAGUUGCACUCUCUCCAUUGAAAGAUUUUGCUCCAUUUGAAGCCAUUAUUGCGUCAUGUUGAGUUUCAUCCUUACCUUUUUAUCAUGCAUCAAUAUACUCAUGAGGGAUACAAAUUUGAAAUCGUUACCCCGCUAGAAAGUGCACGAACUUUAAUUGGCUAAAACUUGACUCAUGUCAAUCAUUUACGAGACGAGUUGAGCUGAGAUAAGUCUGAAUCGAGUCAUUUCCACUCUUGCUCCUCUAAUAUACAUUUUAAUCAUAUAAUUAUUCUAGACCAUUGAUAUUUCAUUAAUUAAUAAAUCUUACAUUAAUACUUAUCUAGAUUCAUGCACAUGAAUAUUGUCAUUUAAUGUAAAAGCUUACCCAUUAAGGGAGCAUUUAUCCCUAUCAAAACUUAAUUUAUAUUGGUUAAUUAAAGAAUAUUUGUUUUGAAAAUAAAAAUAGAUAUAUGUUCAUAUAAUGAGAAAAAGAAAUGAAAUUUGUGUUGAGUAAAAUGAUGCGCGAGACAAUAUUUUCCAUAACAUAAUGUUGUACCCAAGUCACUGGGAUGAGAACUAUCCUUAUAAAGACCAUUACUACAAUAUUUUUCCUUAAUUUCUCGCUCUAAAUGAAGACUAUUACUACAAAAUCAUUGAAAACAAUUUAAACGAGUCUUUUUAUUCCACUAAUAGAUCCAUCACAUGCAAUUUUUAAGAUCAAACACACUUAUUAUCAACAACUAAAACUAGAUUUGAUUUCCAAACAAAGCAUAAACACAAUCAAGGAUAACUAGACUUAUGACCGAUAGUUGUAAAACGACAUGGAUAAAGGUCAUUUGUUUGCAACAACGUCCUAUUCUAUGUCUCGGGUCAAUCACAUAAUGUCAUAUGAAUAAAAGAAAAAGAAACAUUUUGAUUGACUCAUUAAGACAAAGAAUAAAACACUAUUAAGGAUAACUAACCUUUGUCUAACAAGACAUAUAGAAAUUCAAAGACUAAAGAACAAAUAAACAUAAAGACUGGACCAUCAUGACCGGUCUCUAUGUAAUCAUAGACAAAUUUUAAAAAAGGUGGCUAGAACAAUACAAGCCAUAGAAACACUCAACUGUUAUUCAAUAAGAACAUGUGAUUCUUCAUGGGGUUGAAGAACCAUGCUCAAACUCACUUGAGAGAUUAUUAUCUCCAAAUGGAAGCGUUGCAUCCCCUCCAUCAUUGCCCAAGUCAAAAGCCCAAUCAUGAUUCUCCCUAAUUCGUUUGACAUCAUAGCCUAGAGUUGCAC